UGUUGGUAGGGUAACGGCCUACCAAGACUGUGAUCAAUAGCUGAUUUGAGAGGAUGAUCAGCCACAUUGGGACUGAGACACGGCCCAAACUCCUACGGGAGGCAGCAGUAAGGAAUCUUGCACAAUGGAGGAAACUCUGAUGCAGCGAUGCCGCGUGAGUGAAGAAGGCCUUUGGGUUGUAAAGCUCUUUCGUCGGGGAAGAAAAUGACUGUACCCGAAUAAGAAGGUCCGGCUAACUUCGUGCCAGCAGCCGCGGUAAUACGAAGGGACCUAGCGUAGUUCGGAAUUACUGGGCUUAAAGAGUUCGUAGGUGGUUAAAAAAGUUGGUGGUGAAAUCCCAGAGCUUAACUCUGGAACUGCCAUCAAAACUUUUUAGCUAGAGUAUGAUAGAGGAAAGCAGAAUUUCUAGUGUAGAGGUGAAAUUCGUAGAUAUUAGAAAGAAUACCAAUUGCGAAGGCAGCUUUCUGGAUCAUUACUGACACUGAGGAACGAAAGCAUGGGUAGCGAAGAGGAUUAGAUACCCUCGUAGUCCAUGCCGUAAACGAUGUGUGUUAGACGUUGGAAAUUUAUUUUCAGUGUCGCAGCGAAAGCGAUAAACACACCGCCUGGGGAGUACGACCGCAAGGUUAAAACUCAAAUGAAUUGACGGGGACCCGCACAAGUAGUGGAGCAUGUGGUUUAAUUCGAAGAUACGCGCAGAACCUUACCAACACUUGACAUGUUCGUCGCGACUUUAAGAGAUUAAAGUUUUCGGUUCGGCCGGACGAAACACAGGUGCUGCAUGGCUGUCGUCAGCUCGUGUCGUGAGAUGUUGGGUUAAGUCCCGCAACGAGCGCAACC
rnacentral:rRNA from 1 species